rnacentral:rRNA from 1 species
AGUGAACGCUGGCGGCAGGCCUAACACAUGCAAGUCGAACGGCAGCACAGCAGUAGCAAUACUGUGGGUGGCGAGUGGCGGACGGGUGAGGAAUACAUCGGAAUCUGCCUAGUCGUGGGGGAUAACGUAGGGAAACUUACGCUAAUACCGCAUACGACCUACGGGUGAAAGCGGGGGAUCGCAAGACCUCGCGCGAUUAGAUGAGCCGAUGUCCGAUUAGCUAGUUGGCGGGGUAAUGGCCCACCAAGGCGACGAUCGGUAGCUGGUCUGAGAGGAUGAUCAGCCACACUGGAACUGAGACACGGUCCAGACUCCUACGGGAGGCAGCAGUGGGGGAAUAUUGGACAAUGGGCGCAAGCCUGAUCCAGCCAUGCCGCGUGGGUGAAGAAGGCCU